rnacentral:lncRNA from 1 species
AUCUCACCACAAAAUGCCACUAGGCUAUAAAGCCAUGGGCAUUUAAAAGACUUAUAGUAACUCCACUAAUAGAUUCCAAUCAAAAGAUAGGAGUGAGAGGUGGAAGUGAUAAAUAGACUGAUCGGCUCGAUUUGAGUGUUGAGAAAUUUACGUAAUUGAAACUAAAACUCACUCCAUUGUGGCAAAACAUUGCAUAGACGCUCUUUACAAGGUGGAAUCAUUCUCCCUAUUGAAAGCUCUUAUUAAUUCGCAUCCAAGAUGAUUAUAUAUGAAAGGAAAAUCUUUCCUUGUGUACACAUUACACACGCUUUUGAAGGUGAAAUCGUUCAAAACAAUCUAUUAUAUAUAAUAAAUGAAAGUGAUUUGGGCCACAUGUCACUUAAUUAGGGCAUCCUCAAUUCUGUUUUCCCAUCCAACAGUACCACACUUCCAUCCCUUUUAUACUCCCCCUGUCUCCUUUUUUUCCUUUUCAAAACCCUAGAUCUGAAUCUUCUUCUCCUUCUCCUUCUCCUUUACUCUUCUCCCUUCUGAAUCAAAGAUCAAACCAAAUCAUCUCAUCAUGAAUCAUUCGAAACAUCACCAGCCCUAAUUCGACAUUGAACCGGAAAUUGAAGAACACAUAACUCGAAAUCAGCCUUUGUAAUUUUCAUGUCUGAUUAUACCAUGAAGAGGUAAUAUCUGUCUUUUGUAAUUUUCAUCCCGAGCUAUAGUUGGGAAGAUUCUUUCAUCUUCUUCAUCGGCAAGGUUCUUCCAUUUGAGGGUUUCAUUUGCUUGAGAUUUGAAUCUUCCGAUUGUUGAAGCCUUUGAAGCCGAUCCUUUUAAAUUUCCAGUUCCCGAGGUAUGAUCUGUUUGUAACAGCAGUGGUUCAGCAUCUACAGUGGAUUCAACAUCUACAGUGGAUUUAACAUCAGAUAGUUCAUGAUUAAAGAUGCAGUUGGAGCUAUUAUUUGAGUGAAAUGAAUGUUGAUUUAUUAGAAGAUGCAGUUGAAGGUAUCUUAAAUAAGGGAUGUAAUGCAAUCAUUCCUCUCAAUUAAAUAGACCGACCCUUGCUUCCUCUCAAAGUGUUAUGGAAUGGUUAUAACAGCUGAUCAUGCUAAGGACUAUUAUAACUAACCACUACUCCUUAUAAAGAUUGAUGGACUUAAAGACUGAUGAGGCCUAUCCACUGUUGAAGACAAAUCCCUGUUAAAGUUGCAUGUGCUAAGGACUGUUAUAACUAGCCACUGCUCCUUAUAUAACCAUCGUUCCAGUAUCAUUGUUCCAACAUCGUCGUUUCAAUGAAGCUUCCCAUCACACAUCAACCUUUCAACAUCGAUGUUGCAGUAUAAUUGUUGCAACAUCGUGAAAAGUUGCAUGUGCUGCCUUCUUUGAUGGGAGAGUUGCAACUUGAACGGACGAUAUGUAUCUUUCCCUCAAAUCUCUUCUUCUCAAUACACGGCAUUUGUUCAUAAAGUAUAAGAGAAAACUGAAGCUCUCUCUGACCCACUUUCAAAAAUUUUUUUGGUGAUAUGUGGUUUGUCUUGAUCAUGAUGAUGAUGAUGAUUGUUCUACGGUUCUUUCCAGUAUCAUUGUUCCAACAUUGUUUAAAUCUAAUCACAGUUGUUUGAAAUUGAUACAAUCUGCUGCGGGUUAUUAUAGAUGAUGAUGAUGUAGAAGCCGCAGUAGUUCCUACUAAACGCAAGAAAGGAUCUGCUACUGCUGUAAGAUAAGAUUUUAUCUUACUAGAGUAAUGGUCUUUCCUGCCUUUUUUGUAUUAAAAGAAGCAUAAAGUUUGAUUUAAAGCAGCUUUUUAUGAACAAAGUUAAGGAUUAAGUAUAUGAGGACAGGGCUACUCUUCAACAGCUGAAGAAGUGUUUUCAUGUACUGCAUCUUGGUCUGUUCACGAGAGAUCAGGUUUCUAUAAAUCCUGAUGUUGAUGCAUUGAGUACUUCCGUGGAGUUCAUGGCGAUGGUCGAAGAUAUACAUUGAUGGAGUUUAAAGCUAAAAGCACUAAAUUUUAAGCUAAAAGCACUAAAUUUUUGCCGUUAGAUGAUGAUGCUGUGUUUCAUGUUGUAAAAACCAGGGAAUUGUUAGAUAAUAGAUUGCUUUGC